UUUUUAUCAGUUAUACACUAAAUAAUAAUUAAAACAUAAUGGAAAGCAAUAUUGACAGACAUUGUAAAACCAUAGGAGAUGUGAGUGUGAAUAAUUCUUACAGACUUGAAAUACCUGAACAAGCUUUUUUUCAGCUGUCAUGUAUGACUGAUAGAAAACAAUCAGAGAGGUUAUGUAAUGCACAAAUUCUUGAGUACUGGGACAAAAUAGGUUAAACAAAAAAAGUUAAAAGUUUACACUACCUUUUGAAAGUUUGGGGUUUUAAAUUUUUUUUUUC